ACGCUGGCGGCGUGCCUAAUACAUGCAAGUCGAACGGUCUUUUCUAUGGAAGCUUGCUUCCACUGAGAAGAUAGUGGCGAACGGGUGAGUAACACGUGGGUAACCUGCCCAUAAGAGGGGGAUAACAUCCGGAAACGGGUGCUAAUACCGCAUAGUUUUCUUGAUCGCAUGAUCGGGAAAGGAGAGACGGCCUUUGUGCUGUCGCUUAUGGAUGGACCCGCGGCGUAUUAGUUAGUUGGUGAGGUAACGGCUCACCAAGACGAUGAUACGUAGCCGACCUGAGAGGGUGAUCGGCCACAUUGGGACUGAGACACGGCCCAAACUCCUACGGGAGGCAGCAGUAGGGAAUCUUCCGCAAUGGACGAAAGUCUGACGGAGCAACGCCGCGUGAGUGAAGAAAAGGUUUUCGGAUCGUAAAACUCUGUUGUCAGAGAAGAACAAGUUGGGGAGUAACUGCUCCAGCCUUGACGGUAUCUGACCAGAAAGCCACGGCUAACUACGUGCCAGCCGCAGC
rnacentral:rRNA from 1 species